rnacentral:tmRNA from 1 species
GUCCCGGAUUGCAGGCGGAGCUGCCUAACUCCUUAAACUGGACAAAACAUUUAUCUGCCGAAAAUAACGAAGCAGAUUACGCUUUAGCGGCUUAGUCCGCGACGGGUGCCCGGAAUGCUGUUCCGAAGUCCGGGAUUUCCUGUAAGAAACCGGGACUUACCUUCAGGCCCGCCGGGAGCCUGGGGGGACAAUAACCGGCUGGAAGAAGGAGCGGUCCGUUUCCAAACCAAAUUCUUCUUCGAGACAAGAAAGAGGAAACUAAGCCUGUAGACGUUCGGCGGCCUGCCCUUGAGGACGCGGGUUCGAUUCCCGCCACCUCCAGUG